rnacentral:lncRNA from 1 species
CGCAUAACAGUAACGCACCCGUGCGCCCGGAUCACUCCAGGCCUGAAAGCAGCACGGGCCAAGUUCUCUCGGCCCGGUUCCCGGCCGGAACAGGAGGCCCCGGUGCCGGGCGUCCGGCUCGCCCCACGUUGCUCCCGCAUCCCCGCCUUCCUCGUCGGCCCUCCGCCCGCAGUCCCGCUUGGCGCCGCCUCGCGGAGGCCGCUGGGUGCAAGCUCGGGCGCCGCGGGGAGGGGGCGCUCCAGGGCGCGGGGCUGCCGGGCUGCGCGGGUCGGUGCGGCGGGAGGGCGGGGAGGGUGCGGGUCCGGGUCCGGGUGCGGGUGCGGCGCAGGGCUGGACGUGGGGAGCGGGGAAGGGCGGGGCGGGGGCGCGGGGGGCGGGGGGGCGGGGCGGGGGCACCGCCUCCCGCUGCCCGGGACCACCCCCCGCCCCGCCCCGCCCCUCCCGCCGGGACGUCCGUCUCGCCCCGCGCCCCCUCCUCCCCCCGGCGCCUCCCCCCGCCCUCCCCGGCUCCCACCUGGCGGGGGGGCGGUGCGCCCCGGGGCGGCGAGUGCGCGCGCGCGGCCGGCGCGCUGUCCCUUUAAACGGCCCGCGGCGCCUCCCCGCGCCCCGCCCGCCGCGGUGCGGCCGGUGCUGGGCGAGGCCGGAGAAAGUCCAUGUGAGCCGAGCGCGGGGACGCGACACUUCCUGCCGCCGCAGGCCGGACCGGGCCGGGCGCCCGCAGAUGCUGUGCGCUGCCCCGGAGAGCCGGGCUGGGUGCAGCUGAGCUGCGGCCGCCAAGCCCGGCGCGGAGACUCUGCCCUGCUCCUGCUGCUGCUGCUGCUGCUCCUCCUCCUCCUCCUCCUCCUCCUCCUCCUCCUCCUCCUGCUCUCCCGGCUCCUCGCGCCCUCCCCACCCCAAGGGCUCCCGCUCCGUUUGCUGCAUUCCCGGAGCAGCUGGCGAGCCUGCCCCUGCCAGACUGAGCGGGCAGUGCCGGGCCACCGGCGGCAGCCGCCGAAGGUAGGUCUCCCCUGCGGGCGGGCGCCGCGGGCUGGCCGGCAACUUCUCCGCAGCGGGGGCACUGCGGGCCCUCCCCCGGCGGCCACCCAUCUGCCCAACUCCAGUCGCCGGGGUCCGGGCGCUCCGCCCUCCCUCUGCCCUCCCUCCCCCCUGCCGCCCGGCGCCUCUGCGGCCGCCUGCACUUUCCUCCCGCGGGACAGAGCGGCCCUUUGUGCGGGCGCUGCUGUGCGGAGUUGGGCCGGCGCCUUCUCCACCCGGCCGGCACCAGCCCCCCUCCCGAGCCCUGGGCAGCAGAUCCGCCUCGCUGGAGCUCUGCCCCCGCCCUGGGGGCGCCCGGCGGCGGAGGCAGCGGCUCCCAGAGCCCUUGCCGGGUCUCUCCCCUGUCUCCCCCGACCCCUUUAGUCACCUGGGCUGGGAGCGAGCCAGCCAGGAUUGGCCAGCGUGGGGAGCCGGGGGACGGGGAGGGCGGGCAGAUGGGGCUGCGCCAGGCUCCCAGCAGCCGGUCCAGCCCUGUCCCUGACAGUGCCGGCGGCCUGGGGAGCCGGUCCCGGGGGAGGGGCCGCCUGACCUAGCUUCGGCUCCUUCCCCUGGGUGCCCCCACCCCUAGCCUUCUACCUCCACGGCAGCGGCCGGCAGGGCGGACGGGCGGCUUCUCAGCCAGUGGGGCGGGACCCUCCCCUUGCCGGCCCUCAGUCCGUCCGUCCGUGCGGCUGCUCUGAGGGAAAAGAAGACAAACCAGAAACCAAAAGCCUCCAGAAGGGCCCCUGCAGGACCCGCUGGCUCUGGGUGGUGGCCCCUCCCAGGGGAAGGGCUGUGAGGGGCUCCUCCGCCGCUAACUUUUUCUUGGGGAGAAGAGUUUGCAGACACGGCCUGCUGCCCUCUCCCCUCCUGGCAGCCGCGCGUGGCAGUGCCCUGUUCCAUGUUCCAUCCUCUCCGUCCUCUCCGUCCUCCUCAAGCGCAGGCCUCCGCUUCUGUCCCUGGCUUCUGCUCAGACGGGGCGUUCCUGCCCGAGGGUGCAGGCGCUGUCCUGGGGGUGGGCUCUGGGCGCCCCUCAAGGUGGGGGGAGCGUUCCGCAACUCCCCCUCCCGCCCCCGCCGGCCGGAGCGGGGCUGUGCAGCUCAGAGUCUGUGCAGUGCUGGCCACAAGCCCAGCCAGGGUCCCGCCCGGAGGAGCUUGGCCUCAGGACGUCCCCUGGGUUGCUCGCCCUGCUGGGGGGGCCCGGGAAGGGCACCGCAUGCGGGGCGGGGGGGCACGGACAUGCCGGGGUGGUGCAUUCCCAUAGGCUCGCUGGUGGACCCCGCCGUCCAGGAGCCUGACUGAGGUGUCC